rnacentral:rRNA from 1 species
GUUUGAUCCUGGCUCAGAGCGAACGUUAGCGGCAGGCUUAACACAUGCAAGUCGAGCGAGAAAGGGGCUUCGGCUCCGAGUAAAAGCGGCGGACGGGUGCGUAACACGUGGAUAAUCUGCCUCGUGGCGGGGGACAACAGUCCGAAAGGACUGCUAAUACCGCAUGUCAGGUCGGAAACUCCGGUUUCUGACGAAAAAGAGGGCGUCCGCAAGGAGCUCUCACCACGAGAUGAGUCCGCGUCCCAUCAGCUAGUUGGCGGUGUAAUGGACCACCAAGGCUUAGACGGGUAGCUGGUCUGAGAGGAUGACCAGCCACACUGGGACUGAGACACGGCCCAGACUCCUACGGGAGGCAGCAGUGGGGAAUAUUGGACAAUGGGCGAAAGCCUGAUCCAGCCAUGCCGCGUGAGUGAUGAAGGCCUUCGGGUCGUAAA